GAUUUUUUUUUUUUUUUUUUUUUUUUUUCUGUUAAAUUAAUUGUUUUUUAUUUAUUCGUUUUUCUUUUCUCUUUCAUUUGUCUAUCUGUUUUCAUUUGAAAAUAAAACAUAAAGUUAUAUUAUUUAAAUGACAAUAAAAAUCCUACAGUAUAAUAUUCAGAGCUUAACUGCUAAUAAUAACAAACAAUUACUAGAAUUAUUCUUAGUAAACAAUAACAUAGACAUAGCAAUUUUAUCAGAGAUAUGGAUUUCCAAUAAUUCCAUGUGUAGCUUGGCAAAUUAUAAUUUUGUAUGUAAGCCGCGUAACGAUGGUUAUGGAGGCGUUGGAAUUUACUUAAAAAAACACAUACGCUUUAAACAAAUCAACUGUGAUAUUAGCUUAGAAGUCAUUGGUAUCCGUACAAUUAACCUAAGAAAUAAUAUUAAUAUUUUCAGUGUCUAUGCUGCUCCCAGCACAGACAUUAAUUCUUUUCAACAAGGCUGCGAUGAUCUAUUUACUAUUGCUGCUCAAUCGAGUGGUCUAACUGUCAUAGGUGGUGACUUCAAUGCCAAAUCCAGCAUUUGGGGUAAUAAUACUCAAGAUGUCAGAGGCGGUAUUUUAGAAAAUUCCCUCUUACACUCCGGUUUCUUUUGCCUUAACAACGGCUCUCCAACUUACUCCCAUAACCCAUCCUAUACUUCAACACUCGAUCUCACUUUCAUUAAUAGUAGCAAUCUUUGUUCUAACUGGUCCUCAAUAAAUUCUAAAAUAUCAAAUAGCAAUCAUUUCCCAAUCUUAAUUGAAAUAGACCAAAUUUCUGCUUCGACUAAUAUUAUUAAAUUUAACCAUAAUAAAAUAAUCAAAGACUUUUCCAAAAUUCAAAUUACAACGUUAGAUAGCAUUUCCAACUUAUCCCAAACAAUACACUGUAAUAAUUCAAUUAAAAUAAAUACAAACAAUAGAUAUGUUCCAAAAAAGUAUUGGGACGAGGUAUGUGAAAAAUUGUUUAGAUUAAGAAACGCGUGCAGACAAAAAUAUUUUAAAUCCAAACUACAAUCUGAUGCUAUUGCCUAUAUUAACAGUAAUAAAAAACUUAACAACUAUUAUUAUAAAAUGAGAAAAGAAAACCUCAAUAAGCUAGCAGAAGACAUUUCUAACCCCUCUUCUCUGAAAGAUAUGUGGAACAAAAUCAAAAAUCUUAAACUUUUUAAACAAAUUAAACCGUCAAACAGUGCAAUAUCUGACUCAGAACAUAGAGAUUUUCUCAAUCAAAUAGCCACAGCUCCCAACACUGCGAUGUGUCCUGACGUAUCUUUUUCUCCUGAUCUGCUUUAUAGAUAUACCAACUCUAAUUUCUCAGCGCGUGAACUUCUUGACUUCCUUAACUCUCGUAACCCAGACUCGGCUAAGGGUCUUGACAACAUUUCAUACAGAAUGCUUCUAUCUCUACCCUUAAGUCAAAUAGAAAAACUGGUAUCCCUGCUAAACAUUACUUUAGACAAUGGGUUUAUUCCAGAUCAGUGGCGGAAAAUAAGGGUUAUACCUGUUCCCAAAAAAAAUCUAGACUCUUCAAUUAUUACCAACAACAGACCUAUCUGCCUUCUAAGUGUGACUUUUAAGUGCUUAGAAGGUUUGAUUAAAUUGCGGAUGGAAGAGUACAUUAAUAAAAAUAAAAUUCUGCCACCAAGAUCCUAUGCGUUCAGAAAAAACCAUUCUACUGCCCAAUGCAUCAACGAUGUAAUAAAUAACAUAGCCAACCUAAAAGCUCGUGGUUUCCACGUUACCGCAGCGGUUUUAGACUUAAGUAAAGCCUUUGAUGCCGUCAAUAUCCCUAUUCUGGGUAGCAAAUUAGUUAGUUUGGGUUUCGACCACAAUCAUAUUUAUUUCAUUAUAAACUUCCUUAGUAAAAGAGUUCUCACUAUGGGUACUGCAGAGAUAACUGUAAACAAAGGAGUUAGUCAAGGUAGUUGUCUGAGUCCAAUCCUCUUUAAUUUAUAUACAGCUGAGCUUCACAGCUUAAGUAAUGACCAUGACAGUAUUCUGUUCCAGUACGCUGACGACUUCUUUCUAGUCUGUUAUGACAAAGUCUUUUCGAUGGCUGAAGAGAAAUUAGAACAAAAAGUAAAUAGGUUUAUGGAACUGUGCAAUAUUAAUAAUCUUACUUUUAAUCCAGACAAAUCAGCCACCAUUCAUUUUAAUCUAAGAAAAAAACCUUUAAGUAUCUUGUGCAAUAAUAUUAUUUUAAAAAAUGUAAAUAGUAUAAAUUAUUUAGGUAGAGUCAUAAGUUCAAACAACUCGUCUGUUCAGCAUGUAAAUAAAACGAUCUCUAAAUCGAAUCAAACGAAUAUGUUUAUUCAAAUGCUCAGUGGUUGCCGCUUCGGAGUACAUCCAAGCAAGUCACUACUCUUUUAUAAAGCAUUUAUUAGAACUAGAUAUGAAUACGCCUGCUCCUCUUUUUCAAACAUAUCAAAAUCAGUACAAAACAAUAUAAAUAAGCAUGCUAAUUUCCACCUUAGAAAGGCCUUAGGACUUAUUAAAUCGACUCCAAUUAAUAUUAUUUAUAAUCUUGCAGCUGAACUUCCUCCAGCUUAUAGGAUUAAAUUCGCUACAGCGAAGGAGUUGGCCAAAACGUUCGCUCAUGGACUACCAUCUGCGUCGCUUCUGUCAAACUCCUUUGUAGCCAAAAAUACUAGUUACAGUAGAAUUUAUGCUGAAUUUAAAAAUAUCCUGGAUAGUAUUGCUCCUAUUUGUCCUUACUCUCUGUCCACACGCAAGAUUUCAGUUGACACAAAUUUCUUUAAAGGUACUUGUACAAAUAAAAAAAUGGCAAACGAGACUAUAAUUCUCUCUUUAUUUAAAGAAAAAAUAAGAAGUUUAACCUCAAAAAAUAUGGAAAUCAUCUUCACGGAUGGUUCUGUGUCGGAAAAUUUUACAGGAGGUGCCUUUGUCCACUUAAAUUCCAAUUCGAUAAAAAGUUUCUACACCGACAAAAAACUAUCGUCGCUGACUGCUGAACUCACAGCCCUAGAAAAAGCCAUUGACUUCGGUAUUUCAAAAAAGUUCUCCAAAAUAGCAAUUUUAACUGACAGUCUUGGUGCCAUCCAGACAAUAAAGAACACGAACUCCAAAAACUGCAUCUCUCAAUGCAUUCUGAAAAAAGUCAUAAACAACCCAACCCUGCUAUCCAUAGAAUUUCACCACAUUCCAAGCCAUUCCAAUAUUUGGGAAAACGAUCUCGCAGAUACAGCGGCUAAAAAUGCUAAAAUUAACGGCUCUUUCGCACCCGUCAGAUGGACCCUUAAGGACGCAAUCAAUCAUAUGUUCGCGCAAAUAAAACAAGACUGGGAGCGUGAAUACAGUCUGUUCUCAUUAGAGCGUAACAAGGGUUACUCUCUCCUCUCACCAUAUACCACUUCCAAGCCUUGGUUUAAAAACAAAGAACACCUAUUCAACCGUAUAGAAACGAAGACUCUAAACAGAAUCUUAAGCGGACAUGCUUUUGACAAAUACACACUUUCCAAAAUGAAAGUCUACGAUAACGCCCUAUGCGAUUCGUGUAACGUUAAUGAAGACAUUUCGCAUAUUUUGUUAAAUUGCUCAAAAUAUACACCAACAAGACAAAAUUAUCCAACACUACUUAAAUAUAACGAUAUCUAUCGUUUACUUGGAAAUGAACCAAUUGAAAAUUGGACAUCGAUUACCAGUUUCAUUCGAGCUGCUAAUAUUAAUAUCUAAUACAACACACUCCACACUGCUCAUUUAACACACUAUAACACCAUCCACGCUUAUACCAACUCACAAAAUCUCAAAAUUAAAAUUUCUCACACAUAUUGAUAACAUUUUCAUCGCUUAUCGUUCAUCGUCAUCGCUCAUCGUUCAUUGUCAUCAUAACAUCACCAGAAACUACUGCACGAUAUUUACAUAGCUGUCCAUUAAAUUUUGUUUUUCUUGAAAUUUAAUUUCAUACAUUGGCAGUGGCGUUAACCCGUUCCAACGGGGCGGCCAAAUAAUUCUUCCCUCUUCACGGAAGGAAGUAACUUAAUAUUUAAAAAAAAAAAAAACAAACCAUAGAACCCAAAAACAUUUAUAUCGUGUCAUAAUAUUACUCAAAUAUAAAUACCAAUGGAGUCUUCAAUUUGCCGUGUUUGCCUGGAAAAUGGUGACAACUUGGUCAAUAUAUUUGAAGAGACCCAUCAAACGGAAGUUUCCGUUGCGGAUAUGAUUUCUGAGUGGGCGGGCUUCAAAAUUGAAAGAGGAGAUACAUUUCCCGAAACCAUCUGCCCUUCCUGCCUGCAGGAUGCUCAAAACGCAUAUGAGAUGAACUCAACUUACAGGAGAGGCCACAGACUCCACUGUCGCCUGAAGAAGGACCCAUUGGAGGAUUCACUCAAGGAAGAAGUGUACAAAGAGCCGGACAUCGAUUGUCACAUAACAAACAACAAUGACUCUCAUCCGCCUGUUCCUAAAAUUAAGGAAGAAGAUGAAGAGGAACUACUUGGAGGCCAGUUUCAAGAAAAAAAAGAAUCAAGCAAAGAAGAGGGAUUUGAGGAGGAAUACAAUCCCAAGUCCGAGUGCAAGAUCAAGAGUGUGGAAGAGGAUAAGCUGCAAGAUGUGGAGGACCGAUUCACAAGCCCAAUAAGGAAGCAACCAACCAAAAAAGACUUCCAGAGGGAAUACAAGGGAGAUGAUAAUCUGAAAGAUAUGGGGGAACAACUUAAAAAACGAGUCCAAAGCCAAAAAAGCCAGGAACCACUCGAAGAAGAGGUAUUUGAGGAGGAAUACAAUCCUAGAUCUGACUGCGAUACCAGGACUGUGGAAGAUGAUGUCCAGGAAAAUGAAGUUGAUUGGCAAGCUGGUAGGGAGGAUGGUAAAAUAAAUAGCCGUAAUAAAUGCACUUACUGUUCAAAGAUUUUCAUAUCGAAGUCAGCUCUAGCGGAGCACUGGCGAAAACACAUAGAAGAACUACCGAAGUGUAUCAUUUGCUCAAAGACUUUUCAAAACAGCAUAUAUCUUCAACGACACAUGAAAAGGCACAGGGACACUUUGCCUGGCAAGUGUCACCACUGCUCGAUAACCUUCUCAAGUAGAGCCGCGCUUCAUGGCCAUCUCCGCAUACAUAGAGAAAAACAACAGUGUAUCCAUUGCUUGCGCACCUUUCAAUUUGGAUCAUCGCUCCAAAAGCAUCUUGGAACUUACGCAGAAGAAAGAAAGUUAAAGUGUACCCAUUGCUCUCAAACUUUUCCUUGCAAUACACAUCUUCAGCAACACCUGAACGAAAUGCAGCCGCUUAGGUGUCCACACUGCCCAAAAAUCUUAAAAUGUAGACCAGCGCUCCAAAACCAUAUUAGAUUGCACGCAAAAGAACGAACAUAUAAGUGUACCCCCUGCGCAAUGAUUUUUUUGAACCUCGCAGACCUCAAUUCACACCUACAAACCCACUCUGAACUCGGAAGACCGUAUAAGUGUCCCAAGUGCCCAAGGAGGUUCACCACGAGUAAAGGUGUUCAUCUACACGAACGAUUACACACAGUACAACAAUGGCCAGUAGGUCGGAAAAACUAUGGCAAAUCGAUCGUACCAAUACUUUAAAGAUAUGAGCUCUUUAAGUUGAGUUAUUCUAAUUAUUUUCCCCAGAGCGUUUUUAACAAAACCAUGCAUUCCUAAACUGUUUAUUUCCACUAUUUUCCAACUUUUUCAAAACUUGGUGCAAAUUUAUAUUUACCUUUUAGUUCCAAUUUAGCGCUAUGCGGAUUGGGGGGCGUUAUAAUGGAUGGGGCACCUCGUUAAAAUAAAAUUUUUGCUUCAUAAGAAAAUCUUGCAUUUUUCAACUUUGCUGAUUAAUACAAAAUAUGUUUUUUACGUAAUAAAUAAACUAUAUAAA